UGGCAUCAACGCACAGUACAUUACACAUCUAAGGAGCACAAUGACGGCAGCACGCUACAAUAAUCUUAUUGUUAUGCAUGUAAACAAGGCCAGAACUGACGAACUGGACUUACGUUUAAUAGUUAAGGACUUUGUUCUCAAAAACGAACUUAGGGUU